rnacentral:lncRNA from 1 species
GGUCUCUGAGGCAAUGAUCUGGAAGCUGCCACCUACAAGAUAAAGAGUAAGCAAGAUAGAGACAGCAGGAAUGAGCUCUCCGACGGAGGGCAUGAACAGCAAGUGCAAAGGCCCUGCGACUCGAAAGAGCAUGAAAGACUGAGGAAGCGGCCAGUGUGGCUCCAACACAGUGGAGGAGUGGGGGGAUCCUACUGAGAUAGAGGCCCUGGAGAUGAAUCCAAGGCUCACCUGUAAGAUCCAGACAGGACAAAUCUCCAGUCCGAGAUGAUGAACUUCUCCCGGAUUUGGCCAGCGAAUUUCCUGCCUGACUUGGCACAGUAUAUCUCUCCUUCCACACUCCGGAUGGAAAUGUUCUGUUGGAGGGAAAGUCAAGGUGUCACUUCCUAAUUCUGUUUAUAGAGAUACAUUUGGGCUUUAGGCUGGAUGUUUAUGUUCCCUUUACCCCCAUUCUGUGUUGAAACCUAAUCCCCAGGGUGACGGUACUAGAAGGUGGGGCCUUUGGGAGGAGAUUAGGUCAUGAAGAUGGAGUGCUCAUGAAUGGGAGGAGUGCCUUAUAAAGGAGGCCUAGAGAUCUGCCUCACUCCUUCUGCCAUGUGAGGACACAGCAAGAAGACAGCCAUUUAUAAGCCAGGAAGUGGGCUUCACCAGACGCCGAAUCUGCCAGAACGUUGAUCUUGGAGUUCCCAGCCUCUAGAACCAUGAGGAAUAAAUUUCUGUUGUUAUGAACCACCA